rnacentral:misc_RNA from 1 species
ACCGGAAGUACUUUGUGUCAGUUACCUCCCAUACAGGUAUCGUACAAUGGCGGACACAAAAUACUAUGAGGUUGAAAAGCUCGUGAAGAAAAAAGUGGAAAAUAAGAAAGUAAUGUAUCUAGUUCGAUGGAAAAAUUUUGGACCAGAAUAUGAUACAUGGGAACCAGCAACUAAUCUCAAAACAUGUUAUAUGGCAUUUAUUGAUUUUGAAAGGAGACAAAAAUGCAUAAAGUCAUCUUCGGUAGCUGCAAAACUUCUAAAGAAGAGCAGGGAACUGUCCAACAAAUCCAGUAUUGCACGGCUUUCUAAUAGUUCUACAACAAUUAGAAACUCUACCAAGAACAAAAGUCAUAAGAUUAAAGAACUUAAAGCUAAGCCCAAAAAACUUGGCAUAGUGGCACCAUUGACAAAACAAAGCAAAACGCUGAAACAAAUGGAUGAUCGUAAAAAGAACACUACAAUAUCAUUGUCAAAGAAAACACCUUCAAUAACUGAGAAAAAGACUGCCACAAAGAGAGAGGGGCAGCUCCAUUCUUCUUACAAGAAGAAAAAGAAAAUUUUUUCACCAUUGAAACGACAGUUAGAAGUUGGAAGUCCUGGUAAAAAGGAUGACACAAAAGAAAAGAAACAAAAACUGCAAAUUCGAAAGACAGGAAGUCUUGCAAAAAAAUAUUCCAAAUCAAAAAAGAAAGUGAACAAUUAUAGCACUGACAAUCUAGCUAAUUUUGUUGUUGAUAAUGCUGUGAAUGAGAUGACACCAAGUGUUGACAAUACAGAGAGGAUAGCGCAAACAUUAUAUUCAAAGGAGAAAAUACCAGCAUAUAAAACACUCCAGAAAUCCAAACAUAUAACAGAUAAUAACAAUAGUACAUUCAGUGAAGAUGAGUUUGAUAGUGAUGAUGACAGUAUUUUGUACUCACUUAAUGAGCCAGAAUCUGGGCAUAAAGAGAGUGAGCAUAAGAAACAUCAAAAACAGAAAAAAUCCUUGAGUGACAAACAGAGUGUGAAGAAACUCUCAAAAAAAGCUUCGCAAACAUUUGGAAGCUCACUGCUUCCCAGCAAAAAUUCAAGAAAAAGGAUGUCACUGCUGGACUUCAAGAAGCCUAAGAGCAAACAGAAGCAAGCUCCUUUUGCCCACCUCCUUCGUCCAUCUUCACCAACUCCAUUUUUCACCCCUUUGAAAGCAGCAGCACACAGUCCACUGCGUGGUGCACUGAUGCCAUCCAGCAGCUCUCUCACCAUGGAUAGCCUUGUUGGGGAUGUACCAGCUUACCAAGCAGCACCAACAGGGCCUCUAAGCCCAUCCUCCAUGUCCUACAAAAUUCUUCUAGAUGACCUUCCCAGUCAGUUACAUCCACGGUCUAAAGGGAGUAAGAAGAAAGAAAAUGGCAGUGGUGUUAGCAGCACCACCUGCGGAAGUGGGAGGGAUGCAGGGGACAAUGAAAACAUCCAGGUAGCAGAACCCAUUGAAAGACGCAUCAGUGUUCGGGCCACUGAAUGUGUCUUCCGGUACAAGCAGAUUGUGGUGAAGAAAUGCCAUCGCUACACCCAGAUCUGGCUUAACACCCAGACAACAUUGAAGAAUGCCUUUAAUCCCAGUGUGGUACAGGAAGUUGUCGCAGCCCUCAACACAGCCAAAUAUGAUGAUAGCAGUCUUGUGCUGUUUGGUGGCAUUGGCAAUGUUUUCAGCUCUGGCACUGAUCUUCAUUUCCUUGUGACAGGGGAUAGACGAGUGGCAGCCAGACAAAUGGCUGAUGCUCUCAGGGAGCUUACUAAAGCAUUUAUCACCUUUCCAAAGCCAGUCAUGGCAGCAGUUGGUGGGGCAGCUGAGGGGCUAGGAGUUGCAUUGCUGUGCCUUUGUGACGUGGUCUACUCUAGUGACAAGGCUUCUUUUCAUCUGCCAUAUUCUAACCUUUCCCAGACGCCUGAAGGAUGUUCCUCUUUCACCCUUCCAUUAGCCUUGGGACUGGCAUCAGCCAAUGAACUGCUAUUUGGUGGACGAUGCAUUACAGCUAUGGAGGCUUAUCAGCUAGGACUGGUAUCACACGUCUUCUGGCCCACUGCUCUUAUGCAGGAAGUCAUACCAAGGGCCGAGAACAUGGCAAGCUGUUCCGCCAAGGUGCUGGAGGGUACAAAGCUGCUGAUUCGGUCUCAUCAUCGCACCAAACUGGAACUGACCAAUGAGACAGAGUGCAACUUGCUGUUGGAACGAUGGUCUUCCAAUGAGUGUCAGCGUGCCAUUGAAGCAUAUCUAGCAAAUGAGAACAAUUUUUCCCACUGACACAAACACAAAAUUUCAUUUUGGAUGUCCCACAUAUUGAUGGCAGCUUGACACCAGAUGAUGAAAUUUUCGAUGUGUAUCUUCCUGUAGGCAUAACAAUGUCAAAUGAUGCAAAGAUUUGGGGUUUCACAGGAGAAUCCUUUCUUUGAAGGUUGUAUUUACACACCUUGUGAUUUGUCAGUUAAUGUCUUGAUAACUAAGAUGUACUCCAUGCAGUAAGUUGGAUUGUCUUUGAGCUUAUCAGAUAUUUUAGAGAAACUUGCAGAACUUCUGUUGCUUGUGUUUCACUCAGGGAUGUUUGCAAGAUGUAUACAGGCAAAUGUACAGUUGUAAAACAGGUACAAUUACUAAGAUUUUGACACUGCAUCCAAUUUAGCAGCUGUGAAUCUUGCCUAGCAGUUUUGUUUGUAAAUUUUUAUUGAGGAAAAAAGUUGAGCAUGUCAAAGAUAUAGCAGCAUAUUUUCUGUCUACUGCAAUGAAAGGCCAUAAUCCUAGUAAUUGCAAAAUGAAUAUCUUGUAAACAUAUUAAGACUGAGAAGGAAGUGCUGAAGGAUGUCAGUGGGUAGCUUAUUGUAUUUCACAGAGUUUCUCACGGAGCUAGUUGUCUUGCUGAUGUUGAGCUGCCAUUCAAAAGCACAGGUGUAUACGAGCUUGCAUACCAACAUUUCUUACAUAAAGCCUUACGCAUCUAGCUUAAUUAGAGCCUCUGACAUGUACUUCAGGACACAACCAUGUUAAAUACAGGUACCUGUCAGCAGCAACCAACCUCUUUAGUGAGAAAUAGCAAAGAACUUUUAUACCGGGGAUGCUAUGAAAAGUAUCAAGAUAGUACAUCAUUUUGUCUGUUUCCCAAUCUGUGUGGUGCCAUAUUGUUAUUGGUGAGCAGCACAUUUAUUUUAAACCAUUUACCUUUUUAUUAUUCAAAAGGCAGUAAUCUAUGCCACAAAGUGUUCUGAAUGCAAACUUGCUUAGUCAUGGUUUACAUUGUCUGUGUUCUGUUGGACAGUUGAUAAAACCAGUAAGAUGUGGUUUGUUAGAAUUAUUAUUUUACUUUUACAAUUCCACCAGUUUCUUCUCUUGUUGCUUGAAUUGUAAAUCUGUGACUCAUAAAUAUAGACUGCCAUCUAGUGGGGGUUGGAAUAUCAUCACUCUUCAGUACCUUGAAUUUAUGAUCGUGGGCAGCAUAUUUUGGCAGCUUUUUUAAAAACUGGGUUUAUCUCUGCACCUAUCAGUUGAAAACUUCAAAUCCCGGAUCUAAUUUUACGUUUUUUAGAAUUUUUUAGUCUUUUUUUUUUAACCAGCCUUUCUUUUAUUUUGAUUAUUUAGAUUAAAACUUGUUUUUAUAACUAUUUCUUACUUCAGGGUAAUUUUUUUUUCAUCAAUUUAUUUCCUCAUAUUCUGUAUUCUUUACUUUUGGGAGUGUAUUAUUAUUUUUAUUUUUUUUAACCGCAAUGGCUUGUAAAAAUGUGGCAGUCAUACCUUCUUAAAAUGUUUGCAGCGAUGUUGCUUCUGAUUAUCAUGAUUUAGUCUGCCUUGGGCUGCAGCUAUAAAAACCGAUAUUGUAAAGAUCUACAUUUUGUGUACAGUCCAUAACUAUGCCUACAGAGUCAGUGCUGUGGUAGGCAUAGUUAUGGACUGUACACAGUGCUGUGGGUAUUUUCAGUCCACAGGUUUGCCAGUGCUGUAGGUAUUUACAGUCUGCAGCUUUUGCUACAGAAAGUUUGCCAGGGCUGUAGGUAUUUAGCAGAGGUAAAGGAUGCUCAUGGGUAUGGAUGUAUCACCAAUUCUUCUCACAUCUCUGAAUAAUGAUAAUGCCAAGGCCUUGUCAGAAAAACUGAAUUGUUUUGCUUAGUUACUGUCAUCCACAUCCUUAAUACUUUAUGUCAGAAGCCUUUUAUUCUGGUACAGUCGAACUUCUGAAAGUCAAAGGUUCAAGGGACCGAUGAAGAAAAUGGUGUUAUGGAAGUUUGUUGAAAAAAAGAACAUUUUUUUCACUGUGGACGUUUCUCGGGUACCCUGUGGAGACGGAGUUGCACUUAUUGCACACGAGCUUCCUAUACAGAAAGAAUAUGGGAGCACAGGGUCGAUAGGGGAACAGUACACGAUUUUACACUUUCCAAUGUAUUUUCAAAUGGCUUCAACAUGCUGAGCAGCUUAAAAUUAUCCGAGCUGUAAAAGUUUUUGGUUAGACCAAUUUGAGCAACGGAAGUUAAGUAUGCAUUUAUUUAAUAGAAAACCAACUGAUGUUUCAAAUUCGAGAAUUUCGACUUCUUUUCCUGUAAAAGGCUACUAUAUACUCUUUCUUAAAGGCCAAGAAAACUGCAUGUCUUUUCUGUUUUCAAACAACAGAGCAUGGUUGGUGAAUACAAAGUUCAGAGUAGAUUUUGAGAGUAAAUGAAUGAGUGCUAGCCCCCCUACUUCAGCAUAAAACUAAACUCAUGCUCACAGACUUUAGUCAAGUGUACAUGUUCCUUUAUAACUGGGCACCAAUCUACUUAUCUUGAAAUUUUGAUGCAAUUCUUUGUACAUCAUCACCCUGCUAUUGCAGUGUGCUUUUUGUGUUUGCAAUUGAGAGAAUCUCCAUUUCUUUUCAGCAAGUAUUUGAACCCAGAUCAGUUCUUGUCUUCAUUUCAUACAUUAACAUGUACAUAACCUUUAUUUAUUGUUAAAUUUGAUCUGAAUUCAGAUCCAGAUUUAUGAAAGAUAUGUUUUUAUUUUAUGCCAUUCUUUAUGCUUUGUCAUUCUCAACAAGCACUUUAUAUGUUGUCAAAACAGUGCUUUGUACUGAUUCAUUUUUAGAGGACAGCUAGUGACGCACAUUUGAUGCAUUAAAAAUGUCUUUAAAAGUGUUUCAAGGGUAUGUUUUCAUCAGUUUCAUAAAAACACUUGGACAAGAUAUGCAAUAUCAAUAAAACAGAUUGUGCUAAUAGCUACAAGCUAAUGAAUGAGCCUUUAAGUGGACUGCAUAUCAUUAUUUCUCGUAAUAUCCUUCAUUAAGGCCAUAGAAUAGUGUGCACACAUUGAGGGAUGGAUGGUCAGUGGUUCAACUGAUUCUCCCUCCACCCCUAUAAUCAGGGGAAUGCAACAUUUCAAUGGGGCUUUGAGUUCUCUUACAAUCUGUUUCAUACUGUCCUUAAGUAUUUGAAUAUUUUAUGUAAAAAAGUAUUUCACUUUUCUAUUUUUGACAGGAUUGUAAGUUGAAUCUUAAAGAUCAAACUUCCACCAUCCACACAGAAAAAAUAGUUCAACCCUUGGGAGGAAGUUGAAGUUACUUGUCAGACCAGAUAUAAAAAAAUUAAUAAAGUACCAUGCAUGCUUCUCAACUUACUCCCUGGCUAGAACCAUUCUUUCCUGCCCUUAUAUGGAAGUUCAGUCUUUAACUAGAUAAAAUCAUGACUGUUUACAUUUCACAUGGAGCUUAUCCAAACUUGUAUGUAUUACUCUGUACCUGAUCAAUGUACUUUUACAUAAAAAGUCAAUAGUAAAAAUUUUGAUAGCUUUAUGGAUUUGUGAGGUUUGUUGUUAAUAAAUUCUGACCAAUG